UGGGGAAUAUUGCACAAUGGGCGCAAGCCUGAUGCAGCCAUGCCGCGUGUGUGAAGAAGGCCUUCGGGUUGUAAAGCACUUUCAGCGAGGAGGAAGGUGGUGGACUUAAUACGUUCAUCAAUUGACGUUACUCGCAGAAGAAGCACCGGCUAACUCCGUGCCAGCAGCCGCGGUAAUACGGAGGGUGCAAGUGUUAAUCGGAAUUACUGGGCGUAAAGCGCACGCAGGCGGUUUGUUAAGUCAGAUGUGAAAUCCCCGGGCUCAACCUGGGAACUGCAUUUGAAACUGGCAAGCUAGAGUCUCGUAGAGGGGGGUAGAAUUCCAGGUGUAGCGGUGAAAUGCGUAGAGAUCUGGAGGAAUACCGGUGGCGAAGGCGGCCCCCUGGACGAAGACUGACGCUCAGGUGCGAAAGCGUGGGGAGCAAACAGGAUUAGAUACCCUGGUAGUCCACGCUGUAAACGAUGUCGAUUUUGGAGGUUGUGCCCCUUGAGGCGUGGCUUCCGAAGCUAACGCGUUAAAUCGACCGCCUGGGGAGUACGGCC
rnacentral:rRNA from 1 species